rnacentral:lncRNA from 11 species
UUAUAGUACAGAUGUAGUACAGAUCAAGUACAGAUGGAAUACAGCAUUUGAGUAAUUUAUGACAAUUGCAUUUGACUUAUGGUUAAUAACAGUUUGGACUCAAAACAUGACUGGAUUCAAACACCACCCUAACCACAUAGAAGCCAAUGCCUUUAUGCAAAAUCCGUGCACUUUUCUAUGAGCCACAAGGAGAAGCAGUCACCCAUGGAGCCGGCCAGCUAUCAUCAGACAACAUCAUACCACCUCUGUGGGUGAAGGAGGGCGG